CACGCAGGCGGUUUUUUAAGUCAGAUGUGAAAGGUACCGGCUCAACCGGUGACAUGCAUUUGAAACUGAAAGACUUGAGUAUUGGAGAGGCAAGUGGAAUUCCUAGUGUAGCGGUGAAAUGCGUAGAUAUUAGGAGGAACACCGGUGGCGAAGGCGGCUUGCUGGACAAAUAACUGACGCUGAGGUGCGAAAGCGUGGGGAGCAAACA
rnacentral:rRNA from 1 species